rnacentral:lncRNA from 1 species
AACAAAAAGAAAAGUUGGCAAGAAAGAAAGGGCAAAGACAGAGAGACUGGGAGAGAAAGAGGCCCCAAUUUCCUCUCUCUGGUAGUUGCUGAAUUGGCUCUCGUGAAGGCAGAAAGGGAAGGGCUGACUUAUGUCCCUCUGCCAGGAGAGGGGAAAGGAGGGAGGCAUGAUAUUGACUUAAACGUGGGGGAUUUAAAAGGCCCCUAUGUUCCCACUUUGUGCUUUGCUUCUAACAGACAGCCUGGGACCUUUGAAGUCGGUCUGGCCCAGUGGGGAGCGGGCUUCUGUGGAGACAAGAUGCUAACGGGGGCGGGGGAAGGGGGCCAGGGGGCGGCCGAAACUCUAUUAGGCAUGCUCUAGCAAAAAGAAAGGCAAAUCCAAUGAUAAUGUACAUCUGUUUCAGGGAAUUUAUAAGCUUUGAACAUUUUUUAUGGGCAGAUAAGUGGGUCCUUUUCUUACCAUAACUUAGAACUUCAAAGCUGAGUGUGUGGAUAAUGCAAAUUGCUGAAAUAUGAGAUUUUCCCUACAAAGAGGUUUCCAAAAAAGACGAGGAAGAAAAAGAGGGGGGGGGGAGAGAGAACGAAGGCUAACUGAUGCCACAGUCUUUUAUGUACAUGGCAAAAACGGGACAGAAAUUGAUUUUUAUGAAAGAAGAAAUUGAUGGGAGACAUGGCGUGGGGAGGAGGCGGCCUUGUGGCAGGUGCUGGGAGGCAGGGACUGGGGCCGGGCGGGUCCACCCAGGCUGUGGGUCAGCCCUGCAGGGUUGAGCUGCCUGGCUGUGGCUCAGGCCCUGGGGACACAGUGCCCUCCCUCUAGGAGCCUUAAUGGGGAAAACAAGAACACUGUCACUCGUAAUGGGCAUGAAAGGACACUUCAGAGCCAGCCAAGGCAGUGUCAGCCCAGAACAACACCCUGGAACACCCAAGGGGGCUCCAAGGCAGGAUGGGACCCCCUGGUUUGGGAAAAUCAGAAAAGGCCUCCUGGAGGAGAGGGGCUCUAGGGGGCAGGUAUGAUCCUGAAGGGAAGACAGUGGGGUGGGACAUUUCAGAUGGCAAAACAGCUGGGUCAGGAUAUCCCCAGGGUCAUGCCUCUGCCACCCAGACCCCACCACAUUCAGCCCUCUGUGCUUUUCUUGUCUCCCACAUCCCCAGCCCCAGUAACUAGCAGGGACACAGUCAACAUUCAAUAUGUGCAUGUUGAAUGAAUGAAUGAAUGAAUGUGAGAUCGUGAGAACACACAGCUGGUUGGCAAGCAGCAUCAACCAGCUCUUUCUUUUCACUAUAUUACAUAUCUACAGUGGUAGAGUCAUACUAGAAGACAUGAUGGGAUGGUGGUGUGGUCUCUGUAGUUGACCCCAUCAUCCUUUCUGUCCAUAGGUGAUUCGUCUAAGCCAGACAUGGCAAAGUCCUCACCUUUGCCAGUGACUGAUUCAGGAAAGAUCAUGUGUGACCUUAUUCUGGGCAAUGAGAUCUGAAGGGAAGUCUGUUGAGGAACUUGUAACAUGUCAUGGUAGUGGCCAUCUUGCUACAGCCUGAGGACCACAGAGCACACACAGAGAGUGCUGGGUCCUUGGGAAUGAUGUUGAGCAAGCACUUAUACAUGACCUGGCAGCCACCCAGCAUCUGUACUUUAGUUAUUUGGUUUUUCUCAGGAGGAGAUCCUGAGAUGAAGACUCAGGAGCAGGUUGUUGAUUUUGAGGUGGUCCUGGGAAAGACAGGGAGGAGAGUGGGGAAGUGAGGCAGAAAAGGAAGGGAAGUUCCACUCCAGGAGCCCACGUGGAACAUACCUCAGAGUUAUCCCACCUGCACAGGGAGGGAGCUGAGGUAUUUACCCACCCAUCCUUGUCAGUCAUUGGUCAAGGGCUAUUUCUGUGCAUAGGCAUAGGCUUCAGCAGAAUUGCAGGUACUGGCAGUCGGAAAUUGGACCAGCAAACAGAAAUGAUUCCUACAGGGGAUACAAGCCAGGCACAGGCAGUGUCUGUUACUUGGGGUUCCUGUUGCUUAGAGUUGAAAGCAUCAUAACCCAUCCCAGGUGAUCAUAGAAGGACCUCAAAGGAAAAGGUGAGGGGUUUGGACAUUUCCUGAGAAUCCAUGGGGGAACCAUUCAGGGUUUGGGGCAGGUGUCAACCACAAGAACAUUAAACAGGCUCUUUUGGCAGCAAAGUUGGGAGUGGUGUUGAAGUAACUGGGAAAACUCCACAGAGGCUCAGCGUCCACCUCUACCUGACACCCUGCCAGCAACCUGGGUGAUUUCCGCAGGUGUCUGAACCCCGAUCUCUCAGUGUUAUGGCCCCCACCACCAGGAAGGCCUCCUUUUCUCUCUUCUAUAGCCACUCACUCCUGGGCCCCACUGUGAACCCAGAAAUGCCACACCAUGGAAGCCACACACUCUGCUGUCUCCUUCUGUCCUCAUUCCUGUCCUUCUCACAGUCAGUCCCUCUUGGCUCUUCCUAGAGUCCCUUUCAUUCCCUCAUUUCCACUUCCUGCCGCUGUACUGUCACCUGUGGCCUGGAUUUGCACUCUUGGUCCAACACCCUCAACUCCAACACCUCUGUCUUUCUGCCCCAUCCACUAGACAAAAGCUGACUCUGGAAAACAUUAGGCACUCAGAAUCAAGGGUUCUGGGGUCAGAUGGAUAAUUGCCAUCAUCCUCACCAAGUUGCCACUGGACUUUCUUGCCCCUAAAUCCACUGGGCAUUUCAUUGCUACCUUUCUUGACUUCUUGAUUGUUUUUGUGAUACUGACACAUCCCCCCUUUCAGAACACCCUCUGCCCUUGGAUUCUGUGCACAGGAAGCUAGUUGCUCCCCUGAAUACACUCUUUCUUCCUUGUAAUACAGCCUCUGAUUUUGAGCCCAAGAAUAAAGACUACAGUUCUCAGACUCCUUCGCAAAUAAAUUUUGUGACUAAACUCUAGUCAACAGUAAGUGUCAUGUAGCAGCUCCUGGGAAUCUCCUUUAAAAAGAGAGCUUGUUUAUACCUAUUGUCAUCUCUGUUCUUCUGUGCCCCUUCUUCCAUUUUGCUGCCUGGAAAGCAGAUGUGAUGGCUGGAAUUCCAGUCACCAUUUUGGACCAUGAGGACAACACCCUAGAGAUGUGGAGUGGCUAAAAGAAGCCUGUGUUCCUGAGAACUUAGAGGACCAGGACCUCUAUUCCAGGCUUGGACACCUACAUUUAGACUAUUAUAUGAGGAAGCAAUCAACUUCUCACUUGUUUCAACCACUUUCACUUGCAGUCAAACCUGAAUUGUAAGUGAAAUUGCUUUCCUGAUAGCAAACCUGUUGGAUUUUCUCCAGAAUCCCUGGGCCACUUUUAGCAGUCAGAUUCGUCUAAUCCUCCUUUAAAGAUGGUGGCAGUGAAACUGGUACAUGGGACCUGACUGGGCUUUGUUUGCAACUUUCUGAUAAUUUAUAAUUAUUUCAAAAUAAAAAAAUUUUAAAAAUA